UGGCUCAGUGGUAGAGCGCUUGCCUUGCAUGCAUGAGGCCCUGGGUUUGAUUCCCUAG
rnacentral:tRNA from 1 species